GGAGAUGUGGCUCAGUGGUAGAGCUUUCACCUAGCACAGGCAGGAACUGGGUUCAAGGCCCAGCAUCACCA
rnacentral:tRNA from 1 species